AAAUACUCUGAAGCCCAGUGCAGCUCAUGGGAAUAAAUUUCAGAGUUUGCCAGAUCCGGCCCGGUGCCUGGGUUCCAGGAGGACACGCUGCAGUUGGCCUUCAUCGACUUGAGACAACUUUUGGAUCUUUUCAUCCAGUGGGAUUGGUCAACCUACCUUGCUGACUAUGGUCAGCCCAACUGCAAGUACCUCCGGGUAAACCCAGUGACUGCUCUGACCCUGCUUGAGAAGAUGAAGGAUACUAGCCGUAAGAACAACAUGUUUGCACAGUUUCGGAAAAAUGAGCGAGACAAGCAGAAACUCAUUGACACUGUGGCCAAGCAGCUCCGAGGACUCAUCAGCAGCCACCACUCAUGAAGGGUGACCCCGGACUCACAGAGGCGACCUGCUGCAGCCCCCUAGUCUGGGAUCCAGCCCCAGCUGACCCUGCAUUUGUGCAUUCUUCUUCAAAGAGAGCAUAUGUAUUUUUUUAUUAACCCCUGUGCAGUAUUCACAUAACAUUUCCCUAUAGUAAAAGAGGCACAAGAAUAAGCAAGUACAUGAGAUGUUGCUAGGCUGG
rnacentral:sRNA from 1 species